rnacentral:snRNA from 1 species
AACCUUGAUUUAUCAGGCAUCC